AUUGAACGCUGGCGGCAGGCCUAACACAUGCAAGUCGAACGAGUGGCGGACGGGUGCGUAAUGUCUGGGAAUCUGCCUGAUGGAGGGGGAUAACUACUGGAAACGGUAGAUAAUACCGCAUACCAUCGGAUGUGCCCAGAUGGGAUUAGCUAGUAGGUGGGGUAACGGCUCACCUAGGCGACGAUCCCUAGCUGGUCUGAGAGGAUGACCAGCAACACUGGAACUGAGAAACGGUCCAGACGCCUACGGAGGGCAGCAGAGGGGAAGAUGGCACAAUGGGCGCAAGCCGGAUGAAGCCAUGCCGCUGGUAUGAAGAAGGCCUUCGGGUUGUAAAGUACUUUCAGCGGGGAGGCGUUACCCGCAGAAGAAGCACCGGCUAACUCCGUGCCAGCAGCCGCGGUAAUUC
rnacentral:rRNA from 1 species